UACGAAGGGGGCUAGCGUUGUUCGGAAUUACUGGGCGUAAAGCGCGUUGAGGCGGGCCGUUAAGUCGGGGGUGAAAGCCCAGAGCUCAACUCUGGAAUUGCCUUCGAUCCUGACGGCCUGGAGCAUGAUAGAGGCGAGUGGAAUUGCGAGUGUAGAGGUGAAAUUCGUAGAUAUUCGCAGGAACACCAGUGGCGAAGGUGACUCGCUGGAUCAUUGCUGAUGUUGAGACGCGAAAGCGUGGGGAGCAAACAGG
rnacentral:rRNA from 1 species